AUUKUCAAGUCUGUUGAAAAACAGCAUCAUUGAAGGUGAAAAUCCUGUAAAUGAUAUGGACUACCAGUGCAUUUGUGAUACGGUUUCUAAGAGUCGAGUUGUUUGGGAAUGCAGCUCAAAGUGGGUGGUAAAUUCCAUCUAAGGCUAAAUAUAAGUGAGAGACCGAUAGCAAACAAGUACCGUGAGGGAAAGAUGAAAAGAACUUUGAAAAUAGAGUUAACAGUACGUGAAAUUGCUGAAAGGGAAACGUUUGAAGUUAGUAUUGUAUUCGUUGGAUCAGCUUCGCAAGAGGUCUAUUCCGAUGAUAAGCAAGUCAACAUCAGUCUAUGAGUGUUGGAAAAAGGGCUCGAGAAUGUAGCAAUUUAAUUGUGUUAUAGCUUGGGACUUUGAAUACAACGCUCUUGAUUGAGGAACGCGUAGUAAGCUUUGAGCGGGUUCGAAAGAGCCUCCUUACUAUGGAUGUUGGUGAAAUAACUUUAAGCGACCCGUCUUGAAACACGGACCAAGGAGUCUAACAUGCUUGCGAGUAUUAGGGCGUUGAAACCCGAAUGCGUAAUGAAAGUGAUUUCAGAUGUGAUCCGCAAGGUGCAACAUCGGCCGGUCCUGAUUAUUUAUAUGACGGUACUGAGCAAGAGCAAGUAUGUUAGGACCCGAAAGAUGGUGAACUAUGCCUGGAUAGGGUGAAGUCAGAGGAAACUCUGAUGGAAGCUCGUAGCGGUUCUGACGUGCAAAUCGAUCGUAGAAUCUGGGUAUAGGGGCGAAAGACUAAUCGAACCAUCUAGUAGCUGGUUCCUGCCGAAGU
rnacentral:rRNA from 1 species